UGCCAGCACGUUGUGGUGGGGACUCGUAAGAAACUGCCGGGGUUAACUCGGAGGAAGGUGGGGAUGACGUCAAAUCAUCAUGCCCCUUAUGAGCUGGGCUACACACGUGCUACAAUGGACAAUACAAAGGGCAGCGAAACCGCGAGGUCAAGCAAACCCCAUAAAGUUGUUCUCAGUUCGGAUUGUAGUCUGCAACUCGACUAUAUGAAGCUGGAAUCGCUAGUAAUCGUAGAUCAGCAUGCUACGGUGAAUACGUUCCCGGGUCUUGUACACACCGCCCGUCACACCACGAGAGUUUGUAACACCCGAAGCCGGUGGAGUAACCAUUUGGAGCUAGCCGUCGAAGGUGGGACAAAUGAUUGGGGUGAAGUCGUAAC
rnacentral:rRNA from 1 species